GUGAUCACUACGGGGAGCCAUUUGGCUGAGAGGAUGAAAAAUCGACCCGAAUACCUGAUCUGGAUAAUGCCAGCGGAGGAAUAGUUAAAACGUUCAUU
rnacentral:ncRNA from 1 species